UUAAGCGACUAAGCGUACACGGUGGAUGCCCUGGCAGUCAGAGGCGAUGAAGGACGUGCUAAUCUGCGAAAAGCGUCGGUAAGGUGAUAUGAACCGUUACAGCCGGCGAUGUCCGAAUGGGGAAACCCAGUGCAAUUCGUUGCACUAUCGUUAACUGAAUACAUAGGUUAACGAGGCGAACCGGGGGAACUGAAACAUCUAAGUACCCCGAGGAAAAGAAAUCAACCGAGAUUCCCCCAGUAGCGGCGAGCGAACGGGGAGCAGCCCCAGAGUCUGAAUCAGCUUGUGUGUUAGUGGAACGGUCUGGAAAGUCCGACGGUACAGGGUGAUAGUCCCGUACACCAAAAUGCACAGGCUGUGAACUCGAAGAGUAGGGCGGGACACGUGGUAUCCUGUCUGAAUAUGGGGGGGACCAUCCUCCAAGGCUAAAUACUCCUGACUGACCGAUAGUGAACCAGUACCGUGAGGGAAAGGCGAAAAGAACCCGGCGAGGGGAGUGAAAAAGAACCUGAAACCGUGUACGUACAAGCAGUGGGAGCACCUUCGGGUGUGACUGCGUACCUUUUGUAUAAUGGGUCAGCGACUUAUAUUCUGUAGCAAGGUUAACCGUAUAGGGGAGCCGCAGGGAAACCGAGUCUUAACUGGGCGUUAAGUUGCAGGGUAUAGACCCGAAACCCGGUGAUCUAGCCAUGGGCAGGUUGAAGGUUGGGUAACACUAACUGGAGGACCGAACCGACUAAUGUUGAAAAAUUAGCGGAUGACUUGUGGCUGGGGGUGAAAGGCCAAUCAAACCGGGAGAUAGCUGGUUCUCCCCGAAAGCUAUUUAGGUAGCGCCUCGUGAACUCAUCUUCGGGGGGUAGAGCACUGUUUCGGCUAGGGGGUCAUCCCGACUUACCAACCCGAUGCAAACUACGAAUACCGAAGAAUGUUAUCACGGGAGACACACGGCGGGUGCUAACGUCCGUCGUGAAGAGGGAAACAACCCAGACCGCCAGCUAAGGUCCCAAAGUCAUGGUUAAGUGGGAAACGAUGUGGGAAGGCACAGACAGCCAGGAUGUUGGCUUAGAAGCAGCCAUCAUUUAAAGAAAGCGUAAUAGCUCACUGGUCGAGUCGGCCUGCGCGGAAGAUGUAACGGGGCUAAACCAUGCACCGAAGCUGCGGCAGCGACACUAUGUGUUGUUGGGUAGGGGAGCGUUCUGUAAGCCUGCGAAGGUGUGCUGUGAGGCAUGCUGGAGGUAUCAGAAGUGCGAAUGCUGACAUAAGUAACGAUAAAGCGGGUGAAAAGCCCGCUCGCCGGAAGACCAAGGGUUCCUGUCCAACGUUAAUCGGGGCAGGGUGAGUCGACCCCUAAGGCGAGGCCGAAAGGCGUAGUCGAUGGGAAACAGGUUAAUAUUCCUGUACUUGGUGUUACUGCGAAGGGGGGACGGAGAAGGCUAUGUUAGCCGGGCGACGGUUGUCCCGGUUUAAGCAUGUAGGCUGGUUAUCCAGGCAAAUCCGGAUAAUCAAGGCUGAGGUGUGAUGACGAGGCACUACGGUGCUGAAGUAACAAAUGCCCUGCUUCCAGGAAAAGCCUCUAAGCAUCAGGUAACAUCAAAUCGUACCCCAAACCGACACAGGUGGUCAGGUAGAGAAUACCAAGGCGCUUGAGAGAACUCGGGUGAAGGAACUAGGCAAAAUGGUGCCGUAACUUCGGGAGAAGGCACGCUGGUGUGUAGGUGAAGUCCCUGCGGAUGGAGCUGAGACCAGUCGAAGAUACCAGCUGGCUGCAACUGUUUAUUAAAAACACAGCACUGUGCAAACACGAAAGUGGACGUAUACGGUGUGACGCCUGCCCGGUGCCGGAAGGUUAAUUGAUGGGGUUAUCCGUAAGGAGAAGCUCUUGAUCGAAGCCCCGGUAAACGGCGGCCGUAACUAUAACGGUCCUAAGGUAGCGAAAUUCCUUGUCGGGUAAGUUCCGACCUGCACGAAUGGCGUAAUGAUGGCCAGGCUGUCUCCACCCGAGACUCAGUGAAAUUGAACUCGCUGUGAAGAUGCAGUGUACCCGCGGCAAGACGGAAAGACCCCGUGAACCUUUACUAUAGCUUGACACUGAACAUUGAGCCUUGAUGUGUAGGAUAGGUGGGAGGCUUUGAAGCGUGGACGCCAGUCUGCGUGGAGCCAACCUUGAAAUACCACCCUUUAAUGUUUGAUGUUCUAACGUUGGCCCCUUACCGGGGUUGCGGACAGUGUCUGGUGGGUAGUUUGACUGGGGCGGUCUCCUCCCAAAGCGUAACGGAGGAGCACGAAGGUUAGCUAAUCCUGGUCGGACAUCAGGAGGUUAGUGCAAUGGCAUAAGCUAGCUUGACUGCGAGCGUGACGGCGCGAGCAGGUGCGAAAGCAGGUCAUAGUGAUCCGGUGGUUCUGAAUGGAAGGGCCAUCGCUCAACGGAUAAAAGGUACUCCGGGGAUAACAGGCUGAUACCGCCCAAGAGUUCAUAUCGACGGCGGUGUUUGGCACCUCGAUGUCGGCUCAUCACAUCCUGGGGCUGAAGUAGGUCCCAAGGGUAUGGCUGUUCGCCAUUUAAAGUGGUACGCGAGCUGGGUUUAGAACGUCGUGAGACAGUUCGGUCCCUAUCUGCCGUGGGCGCUGGAGAAUUGAGGGGGGCUGCUCCUAGUACGAGAGGACCGGAGUGGACGCAUCACUGGUGUUCGGGUUGUCAUGCCAAUGGCACUGCCCGGUAGCUAAAUGCGGAAGAGAUAAGUGCUGAAAGCAUCUAAGCACGAAACUUGCCCCGAGAUGAGUUCUCCCUGAGACUUUAAGUCUCCUGAAGGAACGUUGAAGACGACGACGUUGAUAGGCCGGGUGUGUAAGCGCAGCGAUGCGUUGAGCUAACCGGUACUAAUGAACCGUGAGGCUUAACCUU
rnacentral:rRNA from 1 species